rnacentral:misc_RNA from 1 species
ACAGUGUUCAAAUGUCAUGGAGAUUUUAUUGGAGAUAUGUAAUUGUUUAUUACAGGUAAAGGUAAUGCAGCAACUUUCCAAGGUUCCAACAAAUUUUGUGUACAGAAAUGGCAAAUGAAUAACUGAAUUAAGACUUUUAGGUCUCAAUAACACAGCAAGGGCAAUGCAAUUUUAAGUCUGGACAUGUUAUGAUACACAGAAAAAUUCAAAAAUAAAUUUGCCAAUGUGAACAUAAUGGACAAUCUUCUGAGUUCUGCAUUAAAGGAAAUCAAUUACCAAAGCCCAGGCAGGAUAAACAAACAGAAGGAUUAUGCCAAUGGAAUUUGAUAUGCCGUGAGCUUUUGUAAAUGAGUUUCUGAACCCACCAGAUGUCCGGAUAUGUUCUUGAAGCAAAUAACAAGCAAUGACAAGGCAUAUUACCACACCUACCCAGCUACUCCUUAACGUGCUUGCAAACAAACUGGGAGCCACUACUAUCAGAAGAAUCAGAGCACCUGGCAUUUCCAGCCAAUCUGGGAAACGUCUUGGGAAGAAAAGCCGCAAUAUAACAGCAACAAAAGCAAUCCAUUUUCCAACCUCUCCCCUGAAAAAGCUGAACAGUAUUGAAGGAAGACUAAAGAAAAUGUAAGGGAUUAAUAAGCUAGUAAGUAUGUCUGUUCUCCAGUUUGUUCGAUCCAAGAUCAACAAAUAAAUUGCAGCAAAAGAAGCAAGCCAUUCAAGAAAAGAGGUCCCAAAACCCAACCCACCAAGCUUGAUGGCGUGAUUGGCUAGCUUCUUAGCAGCCUCGGACAAGUCUUUGAUAUCUGAAACAAUCGAGUCACUGGUUUCUUGAUCUGUCCUCAUUGCCAGGUAGCUUUUCUUUCCCAUUUUCUCAACGCUCAAAUUCAAGAAGAAAACAACUCCAGUUUUAGACAGGAAAUCCAACCAGAAGAGCUAAACGAGAGAGAGAGAAUUAUACUUGACUAUCAGAUUCUUACAAGCUGAAGUGCUACGUCGAUGCUUACAAUUAUUGUCGGAGCUCUACUGUAAGAUUG